GAUAUUUGUAACCACUUUUGGUAUUGUUGCAAGACUGCAGAUAACCCUGAUCAAUUUUUUUGUAAGUAUAAUAGAAGUGCAAUUGCAUCGACCUAGAAACCUGAUUGUAUUGAGAAUUUUUGUGAAUAUGACCUCAUGCCUCUUAAAUUUGUAACUGGUUUUACUCAGGACAUGUGGACUGGACUCCUCCACCAUGUGACAGGAAAACAUUCCUGGGCCUUGGGUGCCUGUCAUCAUGGCCUCUUGAUUGAAAACAGUGAGAAGGAGUUGAUCAAGAGCCAUUCAGUUGCACACCAGAAACUGUCAUUAAUUGUUUUGGAUGGACGCUGGCUGAAAAAAGUCCACAAAUAUUUAAACUUCAGGUCAACUGCAGAGCUGGAGUCCUUUCAUAAUCACAUACUCAUGUAUGCAAGCAAGCGCUUCAGCUUCUCCCCACCAGUUUACGCAGCUCGAGCAAUGCUGGCUGGCCUGGACUACAACUACCACAUCCACAGACUACCAAAGAAGAACACUGAUGGCUCCAUUCAGUUGUUUAAUAAAAAAUCCAAGAAGUGGAGCCUCUACACAGUAAAAGAAGACAAAGACUGGCUACAUCCCAGACCUCCAGAGUGCAAUCCUUAGGAAAAGGUUGUCUGCUGUGGGAGGGUUGCCACGGACCAUAACAAGGAGGCCUGACGAUCCCCGUCAAUAUGGGGUUCCGUCAGGUGUCCCUGCUCCAGCCACCCAGGACCUGUUGCAGAUGCAACUGAGCAGAGGGCGAGGUGAG
rnacentral:lncRNA from 1 species